rnacentral:rRNA from 1 species
GACGAACCGUACAAACGUUAUUCGGAAUUACUGGGCUUAAAGGGUGCGUAGGCGGCCCGGGAAGUUGGGUGUGAAAUACCUCGGCUCAACCGAGGAAUUGCGCUCAAAACUGCCGGGCUUGAGGAAGAUAGAGGUGGGCGGAACUUAGGGUGGAGCGGUGAAAUGCGUUGAUAUCCUAAGGAACACCGGUAGCGAAAGCGGCUCACUGGGUCUUCUCUGACGCUGAGGCACGAAAGCUAGGGGAG